rnacentral:rRNA from 1 species
GCUUAGAGAGGGGUCAAUGUCCUAUCAGCUAGUUGGUAGGGUAAUGGCCUACCAAGGCUAAGACGGGUAGCCGGCCUGAGAGGGUGGUCGGCCACACUGGGACUGAGACACUGCCCAGACUCCUACGGGAGGCUGCAGUCGAGAAUCUUUCGCAAUGCCCGAAAGGGUGACGAAGCGACGCCGCGUGUGGGAAGAAGGCCUUCGGGUUGUAAACCACCGUCGGGAGUUAAGAAAUGCAAGGGUGUUAAUAGCAUCCUUGCUUGACUAAGGCUCCGGAGGAAGCCACGGCUAACUCUGUGCCAGCAGCCGCGGUAAUACAGAGGCGGCAAGCGUUGUUCGGAAUUAUUGGGCGUAAAGAGCACGUAGGCGGCUUUGUAAGUCAGUUGUGAAAGCCUUCUGCUCAACGGAAGAACAGCAUCUGAUACUGCAAGGCUAGAGUGCGGAAGGG